rfam:Ricinus communis cultivar Hale ctg_1100012361546, whole genome shotgun sequence.
GUAUCCAUAGUGUGGGCAUUGUAGUAAAAGUGAUUUGAAGUUGUCCCAUGCUUCGUGAAAGGAUUCAGUGUCCUUUUGAUAAAAAUUGGAAAUCUCAACUCUUAAUUC